rnacentral:misc_RNA from 1 species
GAUGAAGAACGUAGCGAAAUGCGAUACUUGGUGUGAAUUGCAGAAUCCCGUGAACCAUCGAGUCUUUGAACGCAAGUUGCGCCCGAAGCCAUUAGGCCGAGGGCACGCCUGCCUGGGCGUCACACGUCGUUGCCCCCCCAUCUACUCCUUCGGGCUUGCGGGGGGCGGAUGAUGGCCUCCCGUGCGCCUCGUCGCGCGGUUGGCAUAAAUGCCAAGUCCUCGGCGACGCACGCCACGACAAUCGGUGGUUGCGAAACCUCGGUUGCCCGUCGUGUGCGGUCGUCGCGCAUCGAGGGCUCGAAAAAAUUGCCGGGUUCCGGCUCGGCUUUCAACGCGACCCCAGGUCAGGCGGGGUUACCCGCUGAAUUUAAGCAUAUCAAUAAGCGGAGGA